CAGUCGCCGCGGUAAAACGGAGGGGGCUAGCGUUGUUCGGAAUUACUGGGCGUAAAGCGCACGUAGGCGGAUCAGCCAGUCAGGGGUGAAAUCCCGGGGCUCAACCCCGGAACUGCCUUUGAUACUGCUGGUCUUGAGGUCGAGAGAGGUGAGUGGAAUUCCGAGUGUAGAGGUGAAAUUCGUAGAUAUUCGGAGGAACACCAGUGGCGAAGGCGGCUCACUGGCUCAAUACUGACGCUGAGGUGCGAAAGCGUGGGGAACAAACAGGAUUAGAUACCCCUGUAGUCCCUGUCUCUUAUAC
rnacentral:rRNA from 1 species